rnacentral:rRNA from 1 species
UACGGGGGGGGCAAGCGUUGUUCGGAAUUACUGGGCGUAAAGGGCUCGUAGGCGGCCAACUAAGUCCGACGUGAAAUCCCCAGGCUUAACCUGGGAACUGCGUCGGAUACUGGAUGGCUUGAAUUCGGGAGAGGGAUGCAGAAUUCCAGGUGUAGCGGUGUAAUGCGUAGAUAUCUGGAGGAAUACCGGUGGCGAAGGCGGCAUCCUGGACCGACAUUGACGCUGAUGAGCGAAAGCUAGGGGAGCAAACGGG